rnacentral:rRNA from 1 species
GACGAACGCUGGCGGCAUGCCUAAUACAUGCAAGUCGAGCGAACAGAUGAAGUGCUUGCACUUCUGACGUUAGCGGCGAACGGGUGAGUAACACGUAAGGAAUCUACCUAUAAGCGGGGGAUAACAUUCGGAAACGGGUGCUAAUACCGCAUAAUAUCUUCUUCCGCAUGGAAGAAGAUUGAAAGACGGCUCUGCUGUCACUUAUAGAUGACCUUGCGGUGCAUUAGUUAGUUGGUGGGGUAAUGGCCUACCAAGACGAUGAUGCAUAGCCGACCGGGGAGGGUGAUCGGCCACAUUGGGACUGAGACACGGCCCAAACUCCUACGGGAGGCAGCAGUAGGGAAUCUUCCGCAAUGGGCGAAAGCCUGACGGAGCAAUGCCGCGUGAGUGAAGAAGGCCUUCGGGUCGUAAAACUCUGUUAUAAGAGAAGAACAAAUUGUAGAGUAACUGCUACAGUCUUGACGGUAUCUUAUCAGAAAGCCACGGCUAACUACGUGCCAGCCGCCGCGGUAA